CCGCGCAGGGCCGUGACUGGCUGGUUGGAGGCCGCUUCCUCAGGUUUCCCACGCUGUCCUUUCCUAGCUGACCCUCCCAAGGAGGCUUUCCUGGGAGGCUGGAAGAGGAGUGGCACAGAGGACUUUUCUUACAAGCACAGCCAGGGGCAUUCCAAGGCUCACAACGGCAGCACUUCAAUUCAGUAUCCAUCUUCACAUGGUGUUCUCCUUGUGUGUCUGGAUCCUCACGUGACCAUCGUACUGUGGUUGUACAAACACAUAUGUGGGGCAGAGAGGAUCUCAGCUCCUCAACCAUCUGAAGCCUGUUUCCAACCUUCCUCUUAAGCUACCCUAGUGGGAUCUAUGAAAGCCCCAGGUGGGUGUUUAUUUCCUAGUGAUUUAAAAUAUUUUACAUGCAUUUAUUUAGUGGAGUGGGCUUGGCACAAGUGUGGAGGUCAGAGGACUACGUGAGGAAGUCCUCUCUUCUCACUACGUGGGUCUGGGACAUCGAACUCAGGUUGUUAGCCUUACUGAGAAGCUCCUGCCCACUGAGCAAUCUCCCCAGCCUGAUGCUAACUUUACAGACUUGGUGGUGUGGUUCCCAGAGACAUUCUCAUAAAUCAGGGAUGAGAGAAAAGGAAAUGAUUAAGCUACUUACUGUGCACAAUAGUCCCGAAAGCAACCGGGUGAAGUCAAAAGCCCAUAUGCAUUUCGGGCAACGUCCAUCCUCAUUUAUACCCCAGACAGACUCCCACGUGUGUCUCAGGAGACAUACUCAAGGAUGUGGGUGGCACAAAGAACUGAAAUCUAAAAAGAGACAAAAACAAAAAUAAAACCAAAACAAAACAAAACAAAAAACCGGAAAAACCACCACCAACAAAACUAUUAACAUAAUGAAUUUCUGCUCAUGGGAGACGAGCAGAAAAUAGUCAAAUAGCAGGAUAGUAUUAUUUCAGCACUCCAUUCGGGUAUAUUAACGUGUUAUUAAGAACAGAUUAGUUCUAUUAGUGUCACAUGCAUAAAUCUGAAAGGCUUCAUGGUGAGAAAACGGCUGUAGAAAAACAUGUACACUGCUUACAUACGUGUGUAACACUGCAAACUAAUAUUCUGUGUAGUUAAAGGUAUCUUUAAAAGACCAGUUGCUUCUGGGAAAGCUGAGAUGCAAAAGACUUUGGAAACCAGAUACUUAGUUUAUUUAAAAGCAUUAAAACCUGGAAAGAUGGCUCAGUGGUUAUGAGCACUGGCUGCUCUUCCAGAGGACCGGGGUUCAACUUCCAGCAGCCACAUGGAGGCUCACAACCAUCUGUAAUGGGAUCCGAUGCCCUCUUCUGGCGUGCAGGCACAUGCAGAUAGCAUAUGCAUACAUACAUACAUACAUAUAUACAUACAUACAUCAAUUUUUUAAGAAUAUUAAAAGGUCAGGAGUUGGGGCACACACCUUUUAUCAUAGCACUUGGGAGGUAGAGGCAGGCAGAUUUCUGUCAAAAAAAAAUACAAAAAAAUCUCCAAAAACAAACAAAAAAACCAAAACCCAAAUCCUGGAUAAUAGGUAAUAUACCCUACAAGUGAGUCGGAGGAAUGUGGCCAGUAUAGCAAAAGGUUCUUAUACAGUCUUUAUACAGUGAAAAAUAAGCACCUCUUUAUAUUGUGAGACAUCUUCAUAAACACGUGCACCAGCGGACCCUCUUAGAAACGUGUGCAACUGAUGUGGCUUUCAAUACUGGAGAAGCCAUAGAGGUUCACUCACGAUGUCUUAUCCAGGUGCCCUUAUGACCUUCUGGACGUGAGAGUGUCCUGAAAAGGAACAGAGGUACGGUGGGGUGAGGAUCGAUGCCGAGCCACAUGUGGAUAUAAUUAUAACCAUACCCAGAAAUUCCCAACUCGGGCAGAAAAUCAGAUCAAAAUGCAAAUGCAGUUGUCCUUCUGUGACCCAGCACCUGGGAGCAUGACACAGCAGCUCUGCAUCCGGAGACUGGGAUCUAGAUUUUAAAGGCUUUCCAAGAAAUUCUGAUGACCAGCCAGGUUACUGGCGGCCAUCUCUGGUUAUGCUCUACCAGUGUUUUCAAAGAAACCCCGGCAGGUGAAAGUAGAGAAAGAAAACGAGAGGAGAAAAAGAAGGCAGAAAGGAAGGAAGGUGCGCAUGGGCACAGCAAGCCUUUAAUCCUUCCCCUCCCCGCUCCAGACUUCUCCAGCCCUGAAGGUCUUGUCAGAAUUCCAACUGUCUGUAACAUUCAAGUGGCAGUUACCAACUUCCUUGUUUGCUCCUAACAUGGCUCCUGUUUACCCAGUAAGUUAAACCUAUGUCAUCUUAGAACAUCUUUGUUUUUUCUAUAGCGUCUAACACAACGCCGCGGGGAGGAAGCAGUAACGAAUCAUAAUUAAGAACACAUCAGGUUCAGAAGUGUGUUAAGAAAUUGACUGGAAGGUUAUAAAAGUCAUAUGGAAGUCAUAGCCCAGAAGAGGCACCACCACCUUGAAAAAGAACAAAUGUGGAAGAUGAUUAUUUCCCGGUUUCAAAACUUAUAGUAAUCUUCCUAUGGAGACCUGCAAAGAAUUGAUGAUAUAGGGUAAACUCACACAUUACGGUCAAUUUCAGACAAGGAGAGGAAUCCGUACAUUUGUUUGUUUGUUUGUUGUUUGUUUGUUUGGCUUUGGUGCUGGGGGUUGAACCUCGUAUGUGUUGAAUAAACCUUCUACCACUGAGCUACA